CUGUGGUACCGACCCUGCGCGGCCGGUACUGAUCCUGCAGUACCAACCCUGUGCGGCCGGUACUGACCCUGCAUGGCUGGUACCAAUC
rnacentral:pre_miRNA from 1 species